UACAGAGGUCUCAACCGUUGUUCGGAUUCAUUGGGCGUAAAGGGUGCGUAGGCGGUCGUGCAAGUCGGAUGUGAAAUCUCAGGGCUCAACCCUGAAACUGCAUUCGAUACUGCGUGGCUAGAGUGCUGGAGAGGAGACUGGAAUUUACGGUGUAGCAGUGAAAUGCGUAGAUAUCGUAAGGAAGACCAGUGGCGAAGGCGAGUCUCUGGACAGCAACUGACGCUGAGGCACGAAAGCCAGGGGAGCAAACAGG
rnacentral:rRNA from 1 species